rnacentral:lncRNA from 1 species
GAUUAAAGGAAAAGCUGAAACAUAGCUGACAGUUUGGUUAUCACAUCUGGAGUAAAUGAAAAGCAUGGCCUGAAUCCAUCAGGGAAGAUUAGGAAAAUGUGAGAAAAUUACUGAUGUCCUUUUACACAUGUAUAUUCAAACUCAUUCAAAAAUUGAGUGCCGGAACCCUCAGCUGCACAUGGAUUAUCCCUCAGUACAUUGCUAUGGAAGGAUCAGCUGACUCCUGUGGGAUACGCUGAAUAACAAAGGAAUACUGUAAUCACAAAGAAGAAUAUUAUGUAUCAUGUACUGAACUAUAGACCAAUCCUGCCAAUGCAAUCAUGCUGCAUAAUUUUCAUUCAGGAGAGAUGAAGAAGCUUCAAAACUGGUUACAUCUCAGGCCUGAAACUAUGAUCUAUUUUCCCAUGGAACCUGUUCAUUUUUUGACUGAAAGACUGCCUUUAGUCCCCAUGCCAACCACAAUUACAUACACUAGAAUCCAGGACUUGCUUUUGAGGACACUCAGCUUUGAUCAUCUUGCAGCCAAGUGCCUCCCUGAGUGCAACCGACUUCCAACUGAUGCUCCCUAGGAAUGCUUGUUAAAGGGGAGAAGUACUUCUGUCUGCAUCUAGUGAAAUCAGCUCUAUAACAGCUGAAAAAAUAAACUGCUCUGGCCAGGGAUUACA